AGUGAACGCUGGCGGUAGGCCUAACACAUGCAAGUCGAACGGCAGCACAGUAGGAGCUUGCUCUUACGGGUGGCGAGUGGCGGACGGGUGAGGAAUACAUCGGAAUCUACUUUUUCGUGGGGGAUAACGUAGGGAAACUUACGCUAAUACCGCAUACGACCUACGGGUGAAAGCAGGGGAUCUUCGGACCUUGCGCGAUUGAAUGAGCCGAUGUCGGAUUAGCUAGUUGGCGGGGUAAAGGCCCACCAAGGCGACGAUCCGUAGCUGGUCUGAGAGGAUGAUCAGCCACACUGGAACUGAGACACGGUCCUGACUCCUACGGGAGGCAGCAGUGGGGAAUAUUGGACAAAGGGCGCAAGCCUGAUCCAGCCAUACCGCGUGGGUGAAGAAGGCCUUCGGGUUGUAAAGCCCUUUUGUUGGGAAAGAAAAGCAGCAGGUUAAUACCCCGCUGUUCUGACGGUACCCAAAGAAUAAGCACCGGCUAACUUCGUG
rnacentral:rRNA from 1 species